UUCGGAUAGUGACCUCAACGCACGAAUAAAAUGGAGCUAUUUGGAUAUAACUAUGGAUUAUUUGGAACCAAAACAACAUUUGUUGUUGAAGUAGAAGUCCUGGGAGUGCAUUCUGACGAAGAACAGCAAAGAGACCCUGUUUGAGCGCAUAGCCAUGGACCUAAUGGUACCCCUUCCAUAUUCGGCGUGCGGACAUGAGUACAUCUUGGUGGUGGUGGACUAUGCAACAAAGUUCCCAGAGGCUAUUAUUCCCCUGAGGUUGAUGGCAACCAAAGCCAUAGCAAUGGAACUGUAUAUCAUGUUCUCCCAAGUGGGCCUCCCAGCCACCCUCCUGACUUACCCGGGCAUGCUGUUCAUGUCCAGACUGAUGAAGGACCUGUGUCAGUUAUACCGGGUCGAACAAAUAAGGACUAGUGUGUACCAUCCCCAGACGGACGGGUUGUGUGAAUGGCUGAAUAAAACCAUCAAGAGCAUGCUACGCCGGGUGGUGGGACAGGAAGAUUUGUGAUAUGUUGUUGCCCCACUUCAUGUUCACGCAUCCACUGGCUUCUCGCCUUUUGAGCAGAUCUAUGGGGGCCCUGUCAUGGCAUCCUUGACUUGGCCAAGGAGGCCUGGGAGAACCAACCCUGCCAGUACCAUUCCCUCAUCGAACACGUCACAUUCAUGAAGAACCGAAUGGCAACGAUAUGGCCUAUGGUGAGGGAACACAUGGCCAAAGUGCAGGAAACCCAAGCCCGAGUGUACAAUAGAAUGGCCAAGCCGUGACAGUUCCGCCCUGAAGAAGGUACCCCUCAUCCCCACGCCUCAUCCCCACGCUCAGUGGCAGGGCCCAUAUGUCGUGACAGUCUCCCAGGUCAACUACAAGGCAGCUCAACUACAAGGUGAGUCAGCCCGAACGACGGCGCCCUCAGCAGAUAUACCACAUCAACCUGUUGAAAGCCUAUGUGGAACGAGAGGCACAGGAGCUGAUGGACCUUAAGGCAGAUGGAGAGGAACGUCCACCAGAAAAGGUACCUUUUGGCACCACUCUUACAGCCCAGCAAACGCGAGAC
rnacentral:lncRNA from 1 species